rnacentral:rRNA from 1 species
AUUGAACGCUGGCGGCAGGCCUAACACAUGCCAGUCGAGCGGAUGAAGGGAGCUUGCUCCUGGAUUCAGCGGCGGACGGGUGAGUAAUGCCUAGGAAUCUGCCUGGUAGUGGGGGAUAACGUCCGGAAACGGGCGCUAAUACCGCAUACGUCCUGAGGGAGAAAGUGGGGGAUCUUCGGACCUCACGCUAUCAGAUGAGCCUAGGUCGGAUUAGCUAGUUGGUGGGGUAAAGGCCUACCAAGGCGACGAUCCGUAACUGGUCUGAGAGGAUGAUCAGUCACACUGGAACUGAGACACGGUCCAGACUCCUAAGGGAGGCAGCAGUGGGGAAUAUUGGACAAUGGGCGAAAGCCUGAUCCAGCCAUGCCGCGUGUGUGAAGAAGGUCUUCGGAUUGUAAAGCACUUUAAGUUGGGAGGAAGGGCAGUAAGUUAAUACCCUGCUGUUUUGACGUUACCAACAGAAUAAGCACCGGCUAACUUCGUG